AUGCUUUUGAAUCAUAGAGUUUCGAAAUAAGAAUUUAAUUAAGCUUCUUAAUUACAUCUGAAUAUCAAUUUUCAUAAUAAUGGCGAGAUUUUUUGCUUUGACAUUUCUAUUCGUUUGCGCUUUGAUGCUGGCAACAGUGUUAUCUCAAGGUGAUCCCAACUGUCCUAGAGGAUUGAAUUGUGCUUGCAAGGUAAAUGAGGACUGUAAUUCAGGAUUAGGGUGCUCAAAAGCAUUAGGUUCGGAUCAUGGAUUCUGUUGGUAUGCAUAAUAUACAUGCAAUAUAUUAGCAUGCAAAACAUAUAAAAUUUGUGAAAGUUUGUUCAUUUUAUUUUAAUUAUUCAAAUAAAAGAGGAUUUUAGAAAACAUCAAA